rnacentral:rRNA from 1 species
CAAUCAAUACAACUUUCAACAACGGAUCUCUUGGCUCUCGCAUCGAUGAAGAACGCAGCGAAAUGCGAUACGUAAUGUGAAUUGCAGAAUUCAGUGAAUCAUCGAAUCUUUGAACGCACCUUGCGCCCCUUGGUAUUCCGAGGGGCACACCCGUUUGA